AUACAAUAGUUUGAGCUGAGGUCGAGUCAUUAAAGCGUCGUCACAAAUCAUUAGCUUUAGCAGAGUGUUGUCGCGGCACGUGACCCCAUAGGCGUGGUCUUUUCUCCGCCAAGUUUGAAGUUAGUUUGGGACGGAUGACCAUCGAUCAUUUUGAGAAGACAAGCCAGCGCAUGAGCUCUGAUCAGCGGAGUCAGAGUGCGUCAAAAGUUGUUUCGAGAUGGUUAAAGAUAUAAUCGUAUUUGCUGAUGUACAUGCACCCUUUGACGACGACUUUAGUGGAGUCUAUCUAACACAAUCAGACUACGAUCUCGUGGCCGCGGCCACUAGAAAAAACUAACCGCCGACACAAGCUGGUUUUGAAACCCA